rnacentral:lncRNA from 1 species
AGACUGACUGUUGUGUGUUUUCCAGUGCAGUAAUCCCAGCUGCUCCUGCAGCCCUCCUUCACAAUGCAAUGUGACACUGCUGUGUGUGCUUCUACUUAUAAUGUUUAAUAAACGUGUAAAUUAACUCUGUUUCUACAGGUAGGAGAACUGUAUACCUGCACUUCUGUAUCACUGAACACACAGUAUCAUGAGGCAGUCAGAGUGUUUGCUGAAGUCCAUCUUUAAAGUGUUUCAGGUUUUCCAACCAGAGUGAAGCUAAAAUGAUGUUCCUGUGUUCUGUGAAAUGCAGAAAACUCAUGCUGUUGAGUGAAAGAUCAAGAACUGCUGAAUUUUGACCUCAGUGCUGAACUACAGGUGUACCCUGACCUGCAUUAAGAAAGCCAGAUCAGAUGAUGCCAGCUAGCCAAACUCAGUCCACCAGGCUGUUCAAAACAGCAGGGAGAGAAGUGGGUAUUCAACCACCUGGAAAUGAAUUGAACCUAGCCAUCAAACACAGCAGCAUUCCUCUACCUUUGGCCAACGGAUUUUUUUUUGUUGUCUGUUUGUUCUUUCUGUAGCAUUUCCUAUUCCUGUUACUGAACAUAAUAAUGAAUAACAGCAGGUGAGUUGUCACACUGCAUGAGAAAUUAAUAAACUUUUCACACUCUUCA